rnacentral:rRNA from 1 species
UACGGAGGGUGCAAACGUUGCUCGGAAUCAUUGGGCGUAAAGCGCACGUAGGCGGCCUGAUAAGUCGGGUGUGAAAGCCCUGGGCUCAACCCAGGAAGUGCACUCGAAACUGUCAGGCUUGAAUAUGGAAGAGGGUCGCGGAAUUCCCGGUGUAGAGGUGAAAUUCGUAGAUAUCGGGAGGAACACCAGUGGCGAAGGCGGCGACCUGGGCCAAUACUGACGCUCAUGCACGAAAGCGUGGGGAGCAAACAGG